ACCUGCCACAUGCACCCACAGUUGCAUUGUACUAAAUGAUAUUUCAGACCAUAUGCCUGUAGUAGCAAGUUUUAUCGAUGACUUGCUUCCAGUGUGUCAAGAAAAAGUUGUUAAACGUUCUUUCGAUGUAAACAAUUUAAAUAAAUUUCGUGAACUUCUCUCACAAGUUGACUGGAAUAGUAAAUUAAUCCCGACAGAUGC